rfam:Rhodocyclales bacterium RIFCSPLOWO2_02_FTLL_63_24 rifcsplowo2_02_scaffold_10683, whole genome shotgun sequence.
CGCGGCGGGAAGGGAUUCUCGUCGUGACCGGACAGAAGUCAGCAGAGGUCAUAGUAGUUGCCUCCCUUCUCACGAGGAAGGCGCAGCGAAGGGC